rnacentral:lncRNA from 1 species
AAAAGAAAGAGAAUAUCUUUUAACGUUAGAGGCUUUAUUGAAGAAAAAUCUAACAGAGAUCAAAGAUGAGAUAAAUAAUUUUUUUAUUAGGAGUAGAACUAUAUAAAUUUUUUUUAAUUAUAUUUUUUUCUAAAAUUGUACAUGAAUUUUUUUUUUUUGGGAAAACUUCAAAAACCCCCCCUGUGGUUUCGUGCAUUCUCACUUUGCUACCCUGUGGUUUAAAACGUAUCAAUUUACUCCCCUGUGGUUUCAUUUUUAUCUUUUCGGAAGCUUUUUCGUUAAUAUUUCGUUAAAUUAUAUACAAAAAACUUCAAAUAACCAUCUAUAUUUAUCGAAUAGUCACUUUAGUAUCCUUUAAUUUUAACUUUGUCACN